AGAGUUUGAUCAUGGCUCAGAUUGAACGCUGGCGGCAUGCCUUACACAUGCAAGUCGAACGGUAACAGGUCUUCGGAUGCUGACGAGUGGCGAACGGGUGAGUAAUACAUCGGAACGUGCCCGAGAGUGGGGGAUAACGGAGCGAAAGCUUUGCUAAUACCGCAUACGAUCUACGGAUGAAAGCAGGGGACCGCAAGGCCUUGCGCUCAUGGAGCGGCCGAUGGCAGAUUAGGUAGUUGGUGGGAUAAAAGCUUACCAAGCCGACGAUCUGUAGCUGGUCUGAGAGGACGACCAGCCACACUGGGACUGAGACACGGCCCAGACUCCUACGGGAGGCAGCAGUGGGGAAUUUUGGACAAUGGGCGCAAGCCUGAUCCAGCCAUGCCGCGUGCAGGAUGAAGGCCUUCGGGUUGUAAACUGCUUUUGUACGGAACGAAAAGACUCCUUCUAAUAAAGGGGGUCCAUGACGGUACCGUAAGAAUAA
rnacentral:rRNA from 1 species